rnacentral:rRNA from 1 species
GAUGAACGCUGGCGGCGUGCCUAAUACAUGCGAGUCGAGCGAACAGACGAGGAGCUUGCUCCUCUGACGUUAGCGGCGGACGGGUGAGUAACACGUGGAUAACCUACCUAUAAGACUGGGAUAACUUCGGGAAACCGGAGCUAAUACCGGAUAAUAUAUUGAACCGCAUGGUUCAAUAGUGAAAGACGGUUUUGCUGUCACUUAUAGAUGGAUCCGCGCCGCAUUAGCUAGUUGGUAAGGUAACGGCUUACCAAGGCAACGAUGCGUAGCCGACCUGAGAGGGUGAUCAGCCACACUGGAACUGAGACACGAUCCAGACUCCUACGGGAGGCAGCAGUAGGGAAUCUUCCGCAAUGGGCGAAAGCCUGACGGAGCAACGCCGCGUGAGUGAUGAAGGUCUUCGGAUCGUAAAACUCUGUUAUUAGGGAAGAACAAAUGUGUAAGUAACUAUGCACGUCUUGACGGUACCUAAUCAGAAAGCCACGGCUAACUACGUG